UUACUGCUAUCGAGGUUCGACUAAGCCAUGCGAGUCGAAUGUAGCAAUACAUGGCGUACUGCUCAGUAACACGUGGACAACCUACCCUUAGGUCGGGGAUAAACCCGGGAAACUGGGUAUAAUACCCGAUAGAUCUCGACUACUGGAAUGCAUCGAGAUCCAAAGCUCCGGCGCCUAAGGAUGGGUCUGCGGCCUAUCAGGUAGUAGUGGGUGUAGCGUACCUACUAGCCUACGACGGGUACGGGUUGUGAGAGCAAGAGCCCGGAGAUGGAUUCUGAGACACGAAUCCAGGCCCUACGGGGUGCAGCAGGCGCGAAAACUUUACAAUGCUGGAAACAGCGAUAAGGGGACCUCGAGUGCCAGGUUACAAAUCUGGCUGUCGUGACGCCUAAAAAGCAUUGCAUAGCAAGGGCCGGGCAAGACCGGUGCCAGCCGCCGCGGUAACACCGGCGGCUCGAGUGGUAACCGUUAUUAUUGGGUCUAAAGGGUCUGUAGCCGGCCGGAUAAGUCUCUUGGGAAAUCCAGCAGCUCAACUGUUGGGCUUUCAGGAGAUACUGUCUGGCUCGAGGCCGGGAGAGGUGAGAGGUACUUCAGGGGUAGGGGUGAAAUCUUGUAAUCCUUGAAAGGACCACCAGUGGCGAAAGCGUCUCACCAGAACGGACCUGACGGCAAGGGACGAAAGCUAGGGGCACGAACCGGAUUAGAUACCCGGGUAGUCCUAGCCGUAACGAUACUCG
rnacentral:rRNA from 1 species